UUUUCUGCUGGUGUUUUAUGAUAAUGCCUAAAACAAGCGCACGUGGGUAUUUUUAUUUUACCGACUGACUCAGCUAAAGAGCUGCUGGACAAGUGGAAAUUUAAUCGGCUUUGAUCAAAGACUACUAUUUCUGUGCUAAUUCAUGUUGUUUUCAUGUGCUAAAAACUUGUUUUAGAGAGGCAUGACUGGCUCCUAUUUGGACUUGUUUUAAUCUGUCUUAUUCUUUAUCAUUUUACAGGAAAUGUUGGCUAAAGUGGAGAUUGGAGGGGUCCUAAAAUACGUGAAAAUUCCAGAGACUGAUGGAUUUUUUCAAUUUGAUAUGUUCCUUCAAGAAGUGAACGACAAGUUUAGUCUGCAGCCAGACAGCUUCAGUGAGGGCCAGUUCACCAUCACAGAUAUGUCAGGAACAGAGGUGGAUGGAGAUAUCUUUGAUGAGCUUGUCAAGUCGGGUGUCCUGACCUUCAAGGUCCCUUUACCAGUAAUGGAUCUGGAUGUUGAGCUGGUUGCAGAUCAAGCAUCCUCCUCUGUAUUGACAUCGCUGUCCCCAACUUCAUCCCAUUCAUCCUUGGUAGUGGCACAGACUGCACUAUCCCCAGCUUUAUCCCAUUCAUCUGAUUCCACCGUUAUUCUGGAGUCCACAAGAAAAAGGAGGAACCCAACAGGGUUAAUGGACCAGAAUGAAGCAAAACAGAUGGUUGAGGGUGUUCUGAGAGCCAAUCCAAAGGGUGAAGAAGUCUUCAAUGAGUAUGACAAGACUAAAACACUAACUGAUGCGACCCGUAAACAAAUGGUGAACAUCCUGGUUGCAGAUAUGGUAGAGCUACAUGGGAGGGUUCCACCGUCAAGUGUAAGGACCAAUUAUGCACUGGGAAUUGUGACUCUUUUUCCAUACCUCCGUGAUCCAUUCUCCAAACUUGGAUAUGAACACUACUAUGAUCCUGAGGGUAAUACCGGCUUCAUUUCAUGGAGGAUCAAGACGGUUCAACGCAACACCUUUGCUGGCUUGCGGGGUCGUUCCAAGACCGUUCUUCAGGAUGGUCCAAAAACCAGGCGAGAAUCUCUGUCAACCUGCCAACAGCUAUUUGGUGAGGAGUGCAGGGAGGCGAUAUCUACAAUAAGACAUUCCAGCGAUGAAUCUGUGGUCAAAGAGAAGAUGAGAGCGACUUUCCAGUAUCGACAGAAGAUGGUUGGGGAUGAUGCAUCAUCUUCAGUCCUGGAUGUGUUCCCUCGUUUUCUUGAUGUACCUGGAUUGGUAAGAAAACUCUUUUGCUUUGGUUGUAGUUGUCCAGUGUAGAACAGUAAUAUAGUCCAGUGCAGGACAAUAUAAUAUCUGUCUGCACUAUACUAUAAUCUCUUUAAUCUUCUUUUCAAUCUUCCAUUUCAGUAUUUGACCUUUCAUUCAUUUUGUCAUGUAUGCUUGAACCUGUAUAUUAAAAUAUUGUUUUCCUUGUUUGUAGAUCGACCAGGAUUUCUCAAUGAUGUUUGGUGACGAAGUGUCUCAGAAGUUCCUGUCCAAGUGGUCAACUUUCUUCAAGCCAAACAUCAUCACAGACUGCAAGACUGCAACGAAUAUGGAUGAGUUGCUGUCGGCAACUGAAUUUGAGUCUGAAGAGAACAAUGCUACUCCCUCCAACUUCAAGGGGCCAGAAAAAAACUGCCAAGAUCAGUUCAGCUCAAGCAACCAGCCAUCUUGUUAGAUAUCUUAAGGAAGGAGCCAGUAUUACUACCUUCCUUGAGAGUGUCGACGCAAGACAACCGUUCCUCCUUUGCAUCGGUGAGCAAAAGAAGAAUAUCCAAAGGUUCUACCUUAUUAUCGACCGAAAACCAAUCCCGUGCAAGGCACACACAUCAGUAGCAGCUUUUGAUGAACUGUUCAAAGCUCACUACGUCUUCAGUCUCUCAUAUGACGAAGCUCUUUGUAAUUUUUACACAUUCAUCCAAACCACUAUAUACAACAUCGAUGUCGGAAGAGCAAAGGAGAGCCCGCGUGUUAAAGAACUCCGAGCACGACUGCUGCAGCGAAGUGCUGUAACCGAUAAACAGCCUUGAAGAUGUUCACGUGUUUUGUCUGUAAAACACACCACAAAACGUGUGUGGUUCUUUGCCAACAUUUAAAAUUCCAACAUGGUUUAUAUCCUGGCAAAAAGUUGCGUUUAAAAUGUGGAGAGCUCCAUUGCCCAUUAUCAUUUUGUACUUAUAGUGGCUUCCGAAAGCACCUCACCAAGGUGCAUAGUCAGGUUGAUCAAGAGAUUGAUAUUGUUCAUGAUGUUUCUACUCAGCGAGAAUGUGAGGCGGAAUGUUCAAGUGAUUCCCCAAAUGUUGUUGCCACUUUGCAAAAGUCAGAAAGCUCUGUUGAUACAAGUCAACUAUCGUCAAUGUGUGGAUCAAUUGUUGCGCAUUUGCAAGCAUCAGGUCUCUCUGAAAGUGCUGUCCAAACGAUUGUUUGUUCAAUGGAAGAAGUUGUCAAUGAUGUUAAAAGUGAGGCAAAAAAUGCUGUUCUUAAAACAAUGUCUUCUGAAAAUACAAGUUCAGACACUCCAGGAUCCAGAAUAGAUAAUUGUUUUGAUCAAUUAGGUAAUCCUUUUACAGCAUUAAACACAGAGUCAAAAAGGCGUAAAUAUUAUAAUGAAAAAUGGGAAAUAGUUGAACCUAAAGAAUGUGUCCUUGGUGUGAGGCUGGAUUUGCGCAGAGAUAGAAUAACAGGGGUAUACAAUGAGAUUCCUGUAACGGACAAGUGUACGUAUGUACCCAUUCUGAGUACACUUAAAUCCAUAUUCAAAAAUGACCAAGUAAGAGAAAGCUUUCUACGGGACAAACAGAGUGAAAAUGGCAUUUACAAAGACAUCAAUGAUGGGUCAUAUUGCCAAAACCAUGCCCUGUUCUCACAGCAAAAACAUGCACUACAGAUUCUACUAUAUUACGAUGACUUUGAAACGGCUAACCCUCUCGGUUCCAAAAAGGGGAUCCACAAACUAGGUUGUGUCUACUUUACUUUAAAAAAUCUUCCACCCAAGUGUAACUCAGUACUGAUGAAUGUACAUCUGGCAGCUCUGUUUCAUUCUGAAGAUCUGAAAAAAUAUGGUUUUGAUGUGAUACUAAAGCCUCUUAUUGAUGAUCUGAAAUUUUUAGAAACCAAAGGCUUAAAGCUUCCUUCUUUUGAACAACCAUUGUUUGGCUCAGUUAUUCAAGUAACGGGAGAUAAUUUGGCUUUAAAUGGCUUGUUGGGGUUUGUGGAAUCAUUCAGUGCAACCCAUUUCUGUAGAUUUUGUUUAAUCAGUAAGCAAGAAAUUCAAUCUAUAUUUACUGAAGAUCAUCCUGGGUUAAUUAUCCGUUCCAAAGAGCUUUAUACUGAACAUUGUAAGGCACUAAAUGAAAAUCCUGAACUGCGGUCAAUAUAUGGUGUUAAAAAGUCAUGUGUGCUCAACUCCUUACAGUAUUUCCAUUGCACUGACAACUAUGCUGUUGACAUAAUGCACGAUCUGCUGGAGGGUGUAGUACAGUACGAACUAAAGCUGAAUUUUGAGUACCUUGUUAAACAGGGCUAUAUCUCUUUGAACACAUUGUCAAACAGGAUACAGAGCUUUAAUUAUGGUUACACGGAGCGUAGAAACAAACCAAGUGGGAUAAAAAUGGAUGAUAAGAGCAAAGAUCUAGGUUUGAAUGCCAUCCAGUCAUGGUGUCUCCUGCGUAACGCUCCACUAAUGUUUGGUGAUGUCAUUGAAAAGAAUAACAGUUACUGGAACUUUCUGCUGCUUUUGAUCCAGAUUGUCAAUAUAGUGUUUUCCUACACCAUAACUGAUGGAAUGAUAUGCUACUUGAAACAUCUGAUCUGUGAUCACCAUACUCUGUUCAAAGCAUUGUUUCCUGACAAGAGGUUGAUUCCCAAGCACCACUUGAUGGUACACUAUCCUAGAUGCAUACAAAAAAUUGGCCCUCUUAUCCAUAUGUGGUGCAUGCGAUUUGAAGCUAAACACAAUUUUUUCAAAAGAUGUGGCAAAAAUUUUAAGAAUCUCACUAAAUCAUUAGUGAAACAACAUCAGCGUCAAUUGGCAUUUAACUAUGAAAAUUAUUGCUUUAGAAGGUUUGAAUUUGGUCCUACAUCAUCCAAAAACAUCUGCAACUUGCAAGGUGGGAAAGAAAUUAGUGAGACAUUACAUUUGGAUGCCUGUUCAAAUGUUACAAGUACAAGGUGGGUCAGAUAUUACGGUACUGAGUACCAGGUUGGGUUGUACUUAUGCACUGGAUGUACCGAUGAUCUUCCUGUGUUCAAAAAGAUCUGUGAUAUUAUAAUACAUGAACAGCAUGCUUUCAUAAUAUCCUGUAAUGUACAAACAAUGUACUAUGAUGACCACUUUAGUGCAUACUGUAUAGAAGACCAAAUGAAUGUGUUUUCUGUCAUAUCUGUGAAGGCACUGACUUAUUUUAGACCAUUUGACAAGCAAUGCUCUAAUGACAAUAGUCAAAGAGCAUACAUAGUGCCUUAUUGUUACAUUUAGAUAAAUGUACAGCAAUGAAAAAAGAUUUGGUAAUGUUGAUGCAUUUGAAGAAAUAAAAAUGUUAAAGUAGUGAACUUGUCAUUCGUAUUUCUAAUUAUUGACAUUUCAUUUAGAGAUUUUUUUUUGGUGUGGG
ensembl:lncRNA